rnacentral:tRNA from 1 species
UGUUUAUUAAUGUAAGAUGCAUAUAAAAUUUUGAAUUUUAUUGAAAUAGUUUAAUUCUAUUAUAAUCAU